rnacentral:rRNA from 1 species
UGAGCGGCGGACGGGUGAGUAACGCGUGGGAAUAUGCCCUUCUCUAAGGAAUAGCCUCGGGAAACUGAGAGUAAUACCUUAUACGCCCUUCGGGGGAAAGAUUUAUCGGAGAAGGAUUAGCCCGCGUUAGAUUAGGUAGUUGGUGGGGUAAUGGCCUACCAAGCCUACGAUCUAUAGCUGGUUUGAGAGGAUGAUCAGCCACACUGGGACUGAGACACGGCCCAGACUCCUACGGGAGGCAGCAGUAGGGAAUCUUAGACAAUGGGGGAAACCCUGAUCUAGCCAUGCCGCGUGUGUGAUGAAGGCCUUAGGGUCGUAAAGCACUUUCGCCAGAGAUGAUAAUGACAGUAUCUGGUAAAGAAACCCCGGCUAACUCCGUGCCAGCAGCCGCGGUAAUACGGAGGGGGUUAGCGUUGUUCGGAAUUACUGGGCGUAAAGCGUACGUAGGCGGAUUAGUAAGUUAGAGGUGAAAUCCCAGGGCUCAACCCUGGAACUGCCUUUAAUACUGCUAGUCUUGAGUUCG